rnacentral:rRNA from 1 species
UGCAAGUCGAACGAUGAAAGCUGGAGCUUGCUUUAGCUGGAUUAGUGGCGAACGGGUGAGUAACACGUGAGCAAUCUGCCCCUGACUCUGGGAUAACUUCGAGAAAUCGAAGCUAAUACCGGAUACGACCCUUCCAGGCAUCUGGUGAGGGUGGAAAGAACUUCGGUCAGGGAUGAGCUCGCGGCCUAUCAGCUAGUUGGUGAGGUAAUGGCUCACCAAGGCGACGACGGGUAGCCGGCCUGAGAGGGUGACCGGCCACACUGGGACUGAGACACGGCCCAGACUCCUACGGGAGGCAGCAGUGGGGAAUAUUGCACAAUGGGCGCAAGCCUGAUGCAGCAACGCCGCGUGAGGGGCGAAGGCCUUCGGGUUGUAAACCUCUUUUAGCAGGGAAGAAGCGAAAGUGACGGUACCUGCAGAAAAAGCGCCGGCUAACUACGUGCCAGCAGCCGCGGUAAUACGUAGGGCGCAAGCGUUGUCCGGAAUUAUUGGGCGUAAAGAGCUCGUAGGCGGUUUGUCGCGUCUGCUGUGAAAAUCCGAGGCUCAACCUCGGACCUGCAGUGGGUACGGGCAAACUAGAGUGCGGUAGGGGAGAUUGGAAUUCCUGGUGUAGCGGUGGAAUGCGCAGAUAUCAGGAGGAACACCAAUGGCGAAGGCAGAUCUCUGGGCCGUAACUGACGCUGAGGAGCGAAAGCGUGGGGAGCGAACAGGAUUAGAUACCCUGGUAGUCCACGCCGUAAACGGUGGGAACUAGAUGUGGGGUCCGUUCACGGAUUCCGUGUCGCAGCUAACGCAUUAAGUUCCCCGCCUGGGGAGUACGGCCGCAAGGCUAAAACUCAAAG